rnacentral:sRNA from 1 species
AUAAGCUCCCGGACAGCGUCUGGGCGUCUGGUAAGCUCGCCUGUCGAGACGCACAAACAUUGGACGAGGCAACAGGUAUAAGCCACCGGUGUACGCGCCGGAGCGCGAAUGCCUGUUAGGAGUGCGGGAGUGCGAUGCGCGAAGUAACCCGCAGCUUAU